rnacentral:rRNA from 1 species
CAGUAGCCACGGGAAUACAGAGGGUGCGAGCGUUAAUCGGAUUUACUGGGCGUAAAGCGUGCGUAGGCGGCUAAUUGAGUCGGAUGUGAAAUCCCUGAGCUUAACUUGGGAAUUGCAUUCGAUACUGGUUAGCUAGAGUGUGGGAGAGGAUGGUAGAAUUCCAGGUGUAGCGGUGAAAUGCGUAGAGAUCUGGAGGAAUACCGAUGGCGAAGGCAGCCAUCUGGCCUAAUACUGACGCUGAGGUACGAAAGCAUGGGGAGCAAACAGGAUUAGAUACCCCGGUAGUCCCUGUCUCUUAUAC